rnacentral:rRNA from 1 species
UACGUAGGGUGCGAGCGUUGUCCGGAAUUAUUGGGCGUAAAGAGCUUGUAGGUGGUUUGUCGCGUCUGCUGUGAAAAUCCGAGGCUCAACCUCGGACUUGCAGUGGGUACGGGCAGACUAGAGUGUGGUAGGGGAGACUGGAAUUCCUGGUGUAGCGGUGGAAUGCGCAGAUAUCAGGAGGAACACCGAUGGCGAAGGCAGGUCUCUGGAACGCAA